UACGUAGGCAGCGAGCGUUGUUCGGAGUUACUGGGCGUAAAGGGUGUGUAGGCGGUUGUUUAAGUUGGUGUGAAAUCUCCCGGCUCAACUGGGAGGUGCGCCGAAUACUGAAUGACUUGGAGUGCGGGAGAGGUGAGUGGAAUUCCUGGUGUAGCGGUGAAAUGCGUAGAUAUCAGGAGGAACACCGGUGGUGUAGACGGCUCACUGGACCGUAACUGACGCUGAGACACGAAAGCGUGGGUAGCAAACAGG
rnacentral:rRNA from 1 species